rnacentral:rRNA from 1 species
AUUGAACGCUGGCGGCAGGCCUAACACAUGCAAGUCGAGCGGAUGACGGGAGCUUGCUCCUUGAUUCAGCGGCGGACGGGUGAGUAAUGCCUAGGAAUCUGCCUGGUAGUGGGGGACAACGUUUCGAAAGGAACGCUAAUACCGCAUACGUCCUACGGGAGAAAGCAGGGGACCUUCGGGCCUUGCGCUAUCAGAUGAGCCUAGGUCGGACUAGCUAGUUGGUGAGGUAAUGGCUCACCAAGGCGACGAUCCGUAACUGGUCUGAGAGGAUGAUCAGUCACACUGGAACUGAGACACGGUCCAGACUCCUACGGGCGGCAGCAGUGGGGAAUAUUGGACAAUGGGCGAAAGCCUGAUCCAGCCAUGCCGCGUGUGUGAAGAAGGUCUUCGGAUUGUAAAGCACUUUAAGUUGGGAGGAAGGGCAGUAAGUUAAUACCUUGCUGUUUUGACGUUACCGACAGAAUAAGCACCGGCUAACUCUGUGCCAGCCGCCGCAGUAAGAC